AUACUUACCUGGCAGGGGAGAUACCAUGAUCACGAAGGUGGUUUUCCCAGGGCGAGGCAUAUCUAUUGCACUCCAGAUGUGCUGACCCCUGCAAUUUCCUCAAAUGCAGGAAACUAGCCUGCAUAAUUUGUGGUAGUGGGACUGAGCUCAUGCUCUCCUCU